UACAGAGGGUGCAAGCGUUGUUCGGAAUUAUUGGGCGUAAAGCGCGUGUAGGCGGCAUUGCAAGUCGGGUGUGAAAGCCCUCAGCUCAACUGAGGAAGUGCGCCCGAAACUGCAGUGCUUGAAUACCGAAGAGGAUCGCGGAAUUCCCGGUGUAGAGGUGAAAUUCGUAGAUAUCGGGAGGAACACCAGUGGCGAAGGCGGCGAUCUGGGCAGAUACUGACGCUGAGGUGCGAAAGCGUGGGGAGCAAACAGG
rnacentral:rRNA from 1 species